rnacentral:rRNA from 1 species
UACGUAGGGUCCGAGCGUUAAUCGGAAUUACUGGGCGUAAAGCGUGCGCAGGCGGUUUUGUAAGCCAGAUGUGAAAGCCCCGGGCUUAACCUGGGAAUGGCAUUUGGGACUGCAAGGCUGGAGUACGGCAGAGGGAGGUGGAAUUCCAGGUGUAGCAGUGAAAUGACGUAGAUAUCUGGAGGAACACCGAUGGCGAAGGCAGCCUCCUGGGCUAGUACUGACGCUCAUGCACGAAAGCGUGGGGAGCAAACAGG